rnacentral:rRNA from 1 species
GGGGAAUAUUGCACAAUGGGGGAAACCCUGAUGCAGCGACGCCGCGUGGAGGAAGAAGGUCUUCGGAUUGUAAACUCCUGUUGUUGAGGAAGAUAAUGACGGUACUCAACAAGGAAGUGACGGCUAACUACGUGCCAGCAGCCGCGGUAAAACGUAGGUCACAAGCGUUGUCCGGAAUUACUGGGUGUAAAGGGAGCGCAGGCGGGAGAACAAGUUGGAAGUGAAAUCCAUGGGCUCAACCCAUGAACUGCUUUCAAAACUGUUUUUCUUGAGUAGUGCAGAGGUAGGCGGAAUUCCCGGUGUAGCGGUGGAAUGCGUAGAUAUCGGGAGGAACACCAGUGGCGAAGGCGGCCUACUGGGCACCAACUGACGCUGAGGCUCGAAAGUGUGGGUAGCAAACAGGAUUAGAUACCCUGGUAGUCCACACCGUAAACGAUGAUUACUAGGUGUUGGAGGAUUGACCCCUUCAGUGCCGCAGUUAACACAAUAAGUAAUCCACCUGGGGAGUACGACCGCAAGGUUGAAACUCAAAGGAAUUGACGGGGGCCCGCACAAGCAGUGGAGUAUGUGGUUUAAUUCGACGCAACGCGAAGAACCUUACCAAGUCUUGACAUCCCUUGACGAACAUAGAAAUAUGUUUUCUCUUCGGAGCAAGGAGACAGGUGGUGCAUGGUUGUCGUCAGCUCGUGUCGUGAGAUGUUGGGUUAAGUCCCGCAACGAGCGCAACCCUUAUGGUCAGUUACUACGCAAGAGGACUCUGGCCAGACUGCCGUUGACAAAACGGAGGAAGGUGGGGAUGACGUCAAAUCAUCAUGCCCUUUAUGACUUGGGCUACACACGUACUACAAUGGCGUUAAACAAAGAGAAGCAAGACCGCGAGGUGGAGCAAAACUCAGAAACAACGUCCCAGUUCGGACUGCAGGCUGCAACUCGCCUGCACGAAGUCGGAAUUGCUAGUAAUCGUGGAUCAGCAUGCCACGGUGAAUACGUUCCCG